rnacentral:rRNA from 1 species
GACGAACGCUGGCGGCGUGCCUAAUACAUGCAAGUCGAACGCUUCUUUCCUCCCGAGUGCUUGCACUCAAUUGGAAAGAGGAGUGGCGGACGGGUGAGUAACACGUGGGUAACCUACCCAUCAGAGGGGGAUAACACUUGGAAACAGGUGCUAAUACCGCAUAACAGUUUAUGCCGCAUGGCAUAAGAGUGAAAGGCGCUUUCGGGUGUCGCUGAUGGAUGGACCCGCGGUGCAUUAGCUAGUUGGUGAGGUAACGGCUCACCAAGGCCACGAUGCAUAGCCGACCUGAGAGGGUGAUCGGCCACACUGGGACUGAGACACGGCCCAGACUCCUACGGGAGGCAGCAGUAGGGAAUCUUCGGCAAUGGACGAAAGUCUGACCGAGCAACGCCGCGUGAGUGAAGAAGGUUUUCGGAUCGUAGAACUCUGUUGUUAGAGAAGAACAAGGACGUUAGUAACUGAACGUCCCCUGACGGUAUCUAACCAGAAAGCCACGGCUAACUACGUG